rnacentral:rRNA from 1 species
UAAUACGUAGGGUGCAAGCGUUAAUCGGAAUUACUGGGCGUAAAGGGUGCGCAGGCGGUUUUGUAAGUCAGAUGUGAAAUCCCCGGGCUUAACCUGGGAACUGCGUUUGAAACUACAAGACUAGAGUGUGGCAGAGGGGGGUGGAAUUCCAUGUGUAGCAGUGAAAUGCGUAGAGAUAUGGAAGAACAUCGAUGGCGAAGGCAACCCCCUGGGUUAACACUGACGCUCAGGCACGAAAGCGUGGGGAGCAAACAGGAUUAGAUACCCUGGUAGUCCACGCCCUAAACUAUGUCAACUAGUUGUCGGGCCUUAAUAGGCUUGGUAACGCAGCUAACGCGUGAAGUUGACCGCCUGGGGAGUACGGUCGCAAGAUUAAAACUUAAAGGAAUUGACGG